UUGGAUCUGAAAUAUAUUAUUUAUAUUUAUGAAUUUAAAAUUACAUUUUAAAUAAUUCAGAAUGUAUUUAAAAGAUAUAAUACAAUUUGAAUUCUAAAUUAUAAAAUAAAAAUUAAUUUUGAAGGUUUUGAAUUGUCCAAUCCACAAGUGAAAAACAAAAACCAAAGAGAGUCGUUGAAAAAGCAUUUACAAGGCCAACCACCACCAGCCACCUACAACUACCACCGCAAUAAAAAGCUCAAACACAUUCAUUGCCUGAGUGUAUCAAAGAAAGGUAAAAUUAGUAUUGCCAAACUUAUGAGGUACAAAAAGAAAGUGUCUAUUUCUAUACAAUGAAAUAAAAAAAUAAAAAAUAAAAAAUAAAAACUAGUAGGCUAAAAAGAGAAGGUUUCUUUUUUCUACACCUCUAUAUUUUCGUUUGCACCACCAGUAAAGAAAUUCUUUUGUGUAUCUG
rnacentral:lncRNA from 1 species